rnacentral:lncRNA from 1 species
GACAAUGUGAACGAAUCAGUGUGCAGCUUCAUCAAGUGGCAUAUGGAUAAUAUGGUAAUGCUGCCUUUUCUGUCUCUCAGGCUGUUUCCAUGGAAACCUUCAGAGCCAAACAAAAGCUACCAAUCAUUCAACCAAAAAGCUUGCCUUGGCUCAGAGAUGUGAGUUUCUUUAAGGAAAGCUGUUUUCAUACAUUUGGCUGUAGAAUAAGGGCUCUUAGACAUACCCUAAGUUACAGAACAUGUUUUCCCUUCCUACUGUUCUCUGGACAUAGUAAAUUUUUAAAAAUCUAUUCUGUGGGAUCAGUCUCCUGAAUUUCUCUCAGAUCUAUAGUUCCUCACCUGAUAAAGCAAGGUCUGGGUCACUUCUUCAAUGAAGUCUGUUGCCUUAAAUAAUGAUUUUACCCCCACAUGUUCCUAGAAGGGACAUUAAUGUCUUGAACUUUAAAGUAGACAUAUUUAAUGACCAGAGUUUCAGAAAAUGAUACUUUGCAAAAAUGGAAAAUACCAAAACAGUUAGGUAAGCUUACAGAAUUCAUACAGGCCACUCCACCAUAGCCUGGGUCAGUCAUCACAGAAACAUAAAACAGACACUCGAUAUGGGGAAACACAGCUAUAAUCCCAGUACCUGGGAGGCAAGGGCAGAAGGAUUACAAGUGCUAAGCCAGCCUGAGCUAUCUAACAAGGUCCUGUCUCAAAAAGCUAACCAAUAGGUGUGUGUUUGAGGGUGGGGUGUCAGUCUUCCUGUGUGCGCUAAGCCUGGACUUGAUCCAGUGGUCCUAACUGGUGGCCAGUGCAACUGCCCUGCUUUGAGCCUUUCAAGUUCUGUCAAAAUAGGAUAGGUCAAACUCAAGAAGAGUAGCAGACUUGUAAAAUCUACUUUUCAAAGUGAAGAGGACAACUGUUAAUAUUUUCUGUGUCUGAUCAAACCAAAUGGAUUUAACAGUCUCCUCUGUUUGUAGAAACUUAGAGCCACCGUCUGAACGUCUGCUCCCAGCUGGUGUCAUCUUUCCGGCUGGCUGAAUUUUAUAGGUUAGUUAGGUUUUGUUUUGUUUUGUUUUGUUUUGUUUUAAAUGCCUUUGAGCAGCAAAAUGUGUAAAAUAGGUCUGUUGACAUACUGUGAAUUCUGUAUUGUCAUUUAAUGAACUUCAGUGUCCUUACAGAAUUAAAUAGUGGCUUCAUAAAAUAAAUCUAUCAAAAGUUGCCAUUCUGGGGCUGGGGAUUUAGCUCAGUGGUAGAGUUUGCCUAGGAAGCGCAAGGCCCUGGGUUCGGUCCCCAGCUCCGAAAAAAAGAACCAAAAAAAAAAAG